rnacentral:rRNA from 1 species
UAGGGAAUCUUCGGCAAUGGGGGGAACCCUGACCGAGCAACGCCGCGUGAGUGAAGAAGGUUUUCGGAUCGUAAAGCUCUGUUGUUAAGGAAGAACGAGUGUGAGAAUGGAAAGUUCAUACUGUGACGGUACUUAACCAGAAAGGGACGGCUAACUACGUGCCAGCAGCCGCGGUAAUACGUAGGUCCCGAGCGUUGUCCGGAUUUAUUGGGCGUAAAGCGAGCGCAGGCGGUUAGAAAAGUCUGAAGUGAAAGGCAGUGGCUCAACCAUUGUAGGCUUUGGAAACUGUUUAACUUGAGUGCAGAAGGGGAGAGUGGAAUUCCAUGUGUAGCGGUGAAAUGCGUAGAUAUAUGGAGGAACACCAGUGGCGAAGGCGACUCUCUGGUCUGUAACUGACGCGGAGGCUCGAAAGCGUGGGUAGCAAACAGG